AACGAACGCUGGCGGCAUGCCUAACACAUGCAAGUCGAACGAGACCUUCGGGUCUAGUGUCGCACGGGUGCGUAACGCGUGGGAACCUUCCCUUAGGGUCGGAAUAACUCCCCGAAAGGGGUGCUAAUACCGGAUAAUGUCUUCGGACCAAAGAUUUAUCGCCUUUGGAUGGUCCCGCGUUGGAUUAGCUAGUUGGUAGGGUAAAAGCCUACCAAGGCGACGAUCCAUAGCUGGUCUGAGAGGAUGAUCAGCCACACUGGGACUGAGACACGGCCCAGACUCCUACGGGAGGCAGCAGUGGGGAAUAUUGGACCAUGGGCGAAAGCCUGAUCCAGCAAUGCCGCGUGAGUGAUGAAGGCCUUAGGGUUGUAAAGCUCUUUUAACCGGGAUGAUAAUGACAGUACCGGGAGAAUAAGCUCCGGCUAACUCCGUG
rnacentral:rRNA from 1 species